AGUUUCGUCGUUUCCAAACGCUGGAAAGCCGAAGACGCCCAAUUCAGUAAGUAAAUACACAAAAAACUGCAACUUCGAGCCUCCGAUAAUUUCUCCGGCGGCGCGCGACAGCCGAAAAAUCCGCUCUCUGCCUUCCUCCUCCAAUACGACGGCGUUGUGGUUUGAAUCACAGAUCUCAGCUGCACGAUUUUGGAGCAGGAGGAAUCUUGACAGCCAUGAAAACAAUUUCAUAAAUUGUAAUAAAAAGCUGAGUCAUUGAUGAGGUAUGUCAGAUGUCUCCAUAACUGUGUAUAAAAGAUUAUUUUGUGCUA